rnacentral:rRNA from 1 species
GAUACAUCCGGGCCAGCGUACGCGUUAAAGCGGAGGGGUGAUGAGUUGAUCGGAGUUAGUGGGCGUAAAGCGUGCUCAGGCGUUGAUGCUAGAAGGUGGUGAGAUACCUGGGCUUAACGGGGUGACGGCAUUGGUGACUGCAUGUCUGGAGUAGGGCAGAGGUGGGUAGAAUUCCCCGUGUAGCCGUGAAAUGCGUAGAGAUGUGGAGGAAUACCGAUGGCGAAGGCAGCGCCCUGGGCCAAUACUGACGCUCAUGCACGAAAGCGUGGGGAGCAAACAGGAUUAGAUACCCGAGUAGUC